UUCUGGCUUGGAGCUUUUGGAAUGCUCUCCCAGAUGAUAUAAGAAGUAUUGAGGCUAGUGUGUGCUUCUGGACAAGGGUUAGGAACUUCCUGCUGGAGGGACUGUGGGGGUGACAGUUGGUGCUGCUUGUGGUGUGUGUGAGGUCAGACAGUGUGUUUUUGUUCAUUUUAAUUUCUCUUUUACAUUGUUAACCUUUUUCUUUAUCUUUCAUUAAGAAUUAUGUAUAUUAUUCAGUUUAACGGUUAUUUCAUGAAAAUUAAACAAUCUUGUUUACAUUUUAUUAUAAGGAAUAACAAGAGGCUUGCCUUUACCCCUUCCCCUUCUGACCAUCGCGUUCCUGUCCCAUUGUUUCAGAUGACACGACGCGGUGCCGAUGAAAGAGCCAACAUCGAUAUUCUUGUUUGUAUCCCACUUUCGCCUUUGUUGGUGUGAAUGUGAUUCUUGUACUCGUGACUUGUGCUCGGGACUUGCAUUCUGUGUAGUUACAACCCCUGGACUGGACUCUAAGCAGUUAUUGGUUAAUGGCACUAACAAAUAACAGAAUGAAGUGGUCAAGAGAAAAGUUAGAGAUGGAUGAAAUACAAGCUACAAAAAAGGAAGAGAAACAGACAAAAUCAGGAGAAAGCAGAAGAAGAAGUUGAGCUACACUUUUCACAAGGUGCAAAAAAAUCAUUACUAUUUUUCACGAAAGAAGGAAGAUUAGUGACAAAUUCUUUUAAAUGGUCAUCAACAAAUGAAGAAAUUCUCUCAGUUAGAGAAGAAUAUAUUGAAGCUACAAUGGUCUUCCUGGUGGAUUUGAAACCUUCUUGUGGAUUUUUGGCAAUAUGUAGAAUGUUGGUGUUUUUUGAAAUUUAUUUUAUUAGUAAAUUAAAGGCAUGAUC